GGUCAUGCAAAGUGGUUGUGUGUGUGUGUGUGUGUGUGUGUGUGUGUGCGUGUGCCAGCUUCAGUUGUGUCCUUUGUGACCCUGUGGAUUAUAGCCCACCAGGCUCCUCUGUCUGUGGCGAUUCUCCAGGCAAGAAUACUGGAGUGGGUUGCCACGCCUUCCUCCAGGUGACCUUCCUGACCCAGAGAGAAAACCAGCGUCUCUUGCAUCUCCUGCAUUGGCAGGUAGGGUUUUUUACCACUAGUGCCACCUGGGAAGCCUGCAGAAAAAGUAGCCAUGUACAGGUGUGAGAGUUGGACCAUAAAGAAGGCUGAGCACCAAAGAAUUGAUGCUUUUGAAUUGUUGUGCUGGAGAAGACACUUGAGAGAGUGUCUUGGAGAGACCCUUGGACAGCAAAGGAGAUUGAACCAGUCAAUCCUAAAAGAAAUCAACCUUGAAUAUUCAUUGGAAGGACUGAUGCUAAUGCUCCAGUAUUUUGGCCACUUGAUGUGAAGAGCUGACUCACUGGAAAAGACCCUGAUGCUGAGAAAGAUUGAAAGCAAAAGGAAAAGGGGCCGCCAGAGGAUGAGAUGGUUAGAUAGCAUCAGUGACUCAAUGGACAUGAAUUUGAGCAGCUCUGGGAUACAGUGAAGGACAGAGGAGCCUGGUAUGCUAUAGUCCAUGAGGCUGUGAAGAGUUGGACAUGACUUGGU
ensembl:lncRNA